GACGAACGCUGGCGGCGUGCCUAAUACAUGCAAGUCGAACGAGAGCGACCGGUGCUUGCACUGGUCAAUCUAGUGGCGAACGGGUGAGUAACACGUGGGUAACCUGCUCAUCAGAGGGGGAUAACAUCCGGAAACGGAUGCUAAAACCGCAUAGGUCUUCGAGCCGCAUGGCUUGAAGAGGAAAAGAGGCGCAAGCUUCUGCUGAUGGAUGGACCCGCGGUGCAUUAGCUAGUUGGUGAGGUAACGGCUCACCAAGGCCGUGAUGCAUAGCCGACCUGAGAGGGUGAUCGGCCACAUUGGGACUGAGACACGGCCCAAACUCCUACGGGAGGCAGCAGUAGGGAAUCUUCCGCAAUGGACGCAAGUCUGACGGAGCAACGCCGCGUGAGUGAAGAAGGUUUUCGGAUCGUAAAACUCUGUCGUUAGAGAAGAACAAGUGCUAGAGUAACUGUUAGCGCCUUGACGGUAUCUAACCAGAAAGCCACGACUAACUACGUG
rnacentral:rRNA from 1 species